GGGCCCGCACAAGCGGUGGAGUAUGUGGUUUAAUUCGAUGCAACGCGAAGAACCUUACCAGGGUUUGACAUCCUGCGAAUCUCUUGGAAACAGGAGAGUGCCUUCGGGAAUGCGGAUACAGGUGGUGCAUGGCUGUCGUCAGCUCGUGUCGUGAGAUGUUGGGUUAAGUCCCGCAACGAGCGCAACCCACGUCUUUAGUUGCCAGCAUUUAGUUGGGCACUCUAGAGAGACUGCCGGUGAUAAACCGGAGGAAGGUGUGGAUGACGUCAAGUCAUCAUGCCCCUUACAUCCUGGGCUACACACGUACUACAAUGCUACGGACAAAGGGCAGCAAGUUCGCGAGGACAAG
rnacentral:rRNA from 1 species